UCGGUGUUCGUGGCGGUAUAGGAGGGAGAGGAGGAGGACAGGAAAUAUGGUUUAAUCGGCGGGCCAUUCCGGAAGACGGGACGGGAAGGAACCAGUUUGCGAUCGAGGAAGCGGUUGGCAACAAACAUAUUCCAAUCUGAUCCUGCCGGAAACGUGUCGUAGAACCCACGGAAGCAGCCACGUUUUCUCGGACUCGUACUCCGAGUCCGUUGUCUCGUACUCCGGUAAACAUCAAUCCGUCGGAGAUGCAAGAUUGGCGUCGCAACCGGGUUUUGAUCAGCUCGUCGAGGAGUAAAAGUCCAACACGACAAAGAUGCUGCCACAGCCGCCUCAGAAGAACACCAACAUCCAAGCCGGAAGCUGCGGUCAAGGCAAAUCCCGAAGGAAGCCAAGUUGGAGAAGAAUCAGCAAAA